rnacentral:tRNA from 1 species
GGAAGGGUGGCCGAGCGGUUUAAGGCGCCGGUCUUGAAAACCGGUAUACGUUCACGCGUAUCGUGGGUUCGAAUCCCACCCCUUCCG